CUACGGGCGGCAGCAGUGGGGAAUAUUGCGCAAUGGACGAAAGUCUGACGCAGCGACGCCGCGUGGGGGAAGAAGGUUUUCGGAUCGUAAACCCCUGUCAGGAGGGAAGAAACUCAUGGGUUCGAAUAGGGCCCUUGACUGACGGUACCUCCAGAGGAAGCACCGGCUAACUCCGUGCCAGCAGCCGCGGUAAUAGGAGGGUGCGAGCGUUAAUCGGAAUCACUGGGCGUAAAGCGUGCGUAGGCUGCCCUGCAAGUCAAAUGUGAAAGCCCACGGCUCAACCGUGGAAUUGCAUUCGAAACUGAAGGGCUUGAGUUCGGGAGAGGGUGGCGGAAUUCCAGGUGUAGGAGUGAAAUCCGUAGAUAUCUGGAGGAACACCAGUGGCGAAGGCGGCCACCUGGACCGAUACUGACGCUGAGGUACGAAAGUGUGGGGAGCAAACAGGAUUAGAUACCCUGGUAGUC
rnacentral:rRNA from 1 species